UAGCUCAGUUGGGAGAGCGCCUGCCUUACAAGCAGGUGGUCGGGGGUUCAAGUCCCUCCGCGCCCACCA
rnacentral:tRNA from 1 species